GGAUUAGAUACCCUGGUAGUCCACGCCGUAAACGAUGGAUGCUAGCCGUCGGCCCUAAGGGUCGGUGGCGACGCUAACGCAUUAAGCAUCCCGCCUGGGGAGUACGGUCGCAAGAUUAAAACUCAAAGGAAUUGACGGGGACCCGCACAAGCGGUGGAGCAUGUGGUUUAAUUCGAGGCAACGCGAAGAACCUUACCAGGACUUGACAUGCCGGUCGCGGAUCGCAGAGAUGCUUUCCUUCAGCUUGGCUGGACCGUGCACAGGUGCUGCACGGCUGUCGUCAGCUCGUGUUG
rnacentral:rRNA from 1 species